UAAGGAAUCUUCCACAAUGGACGCAAGUCUGAUGGAGCAACGCCGCGUGAGUGAAGAAGGUCUUCGGAUCGUAAAACUCUGUUGUUAGAGAAGAACACGAGUGAGAGUAACUGUUCAUUCGAUGACGGUAUCUAACCAGCAAGUCACGGCUAACUACGUGCCAG
rnacentral:rRNA from 1 species